UAAUUUUCAUUUUUGGGUGAACUAACACUUUAAAGCUUGUUAAUUUGGUUUAUGCCUUAGAACUUUUUCAAUUGAGAACUAUUGCCCUGCCCAUUUUAACAUGACAUCACUUCCUGUGUCUAGUUCUGCUGCUUUACUGAAGACCUCAUUAGUGUUCCAUGGCAUCAGCAUCAUCCAACAUGAUUAGAUUUGUAUUUAAAGUAAUCUUCUUCCUGAGUUGGUUUACAGGUUGUCUGAUUUGUGAGAAGGUGCAUCAGUCCCCUUCAGAUGUGCUGUGUGAACCCAAGAAGUCUGUAGAGCUGACCUGCAGACAUAAAAUUACUAGCUAUGACACAAUAUUGUGGUAUCAGAGGUCAUAUGGAGAUUCUACCCUGAAACUCAUCGGUUAUGCACGAUAUAGAAGCAUAAAAGAAUUUGAGGAAUCGUAUAAGAAUCAUUUCAAUUUAACUGGAAAUGGAGAAGAGGAAGUUACUUUAAAGAUUCUCCAAGCAAGACCAGACCAGGACAGUGCAGAGUAUUUCUGUGCAGCUUCUUAUGCACAAUGCCACAAAAGUGCUUUCUUCCAUGACAAAAACUUUUAUGUUCAGUAUAUCAUGGUACACCUGCAUGAAACCACAUUUGCAAGUUUUAGAAAAGAUAAUUGAAAACAAAAAGCUAAAAUGGUACGCAGAGAAAACAUUAAGUGUGCUAACACAUUUAAAUUAAUCAUUUGAUACAAUGCACUUGUGUGCAUAAAUAAAUACCUGUAUGUAAUUACAUUGUAAU